rnacentral:lncRNA from 1 species
CUCAAAUGUCAUUAGUCAUUAAUAGUGGACCAAUUUCACACCAAGGUCUGCAAUAUCGAUCAAGACUAUACAUGCUCGCAUCUAGUUUGCUAUUUCAAACGGGAAUGUGUACGUACGUGUGUGUACAGGUACAUUCAGCACUCAAGGCAAUGCGUAGGACUACAAUGCAUUGCAUUGCACUAUACGAUGUGUAUGUAAUGUAUUUGAAUUCAGAGUGAAAAAGCCGUUGCAAGAAGUAUCCUCCUGAAUACUCUCGUUUUCUCCUGCAAAUUUACAGUAUGGGCAUCUUUUUUUAACAUCUUUCGUCAAAGAAGUGGAUUCAAAGCACAUUGUGGCCUCAGUAUAUUGAUGUGAAACCAUUCAGAAAAUGCUACUUUCUCUCAACCUUGUGGAUGUUCCCUACUUCCCUAAGGAUCAGCAGCCUCUUGAAACAGGUGAAGCCAUUAUCGAAUUCCUUGCGUCUAUGUUCCUUGGAUCUGAAAACAGUGCAUAAUGCAGGAGAUUCCACCCAAAAGCUAACCCACAAGUCCAAGCUGAAGUGGAAUAUUUCGCAAAAUUUGAUCUACACUCACCCGAUAGCUUUACUGCUAGAGAAAGGUGGUCAUAUAGAUGUCAUUUAGAGGACACAAAAGACGUAAAGAUCAUGUAAGGAUAAAAGGUACAUCGAAAUGACCAGUAAGAUGUAAAUAUCACGUCAAAAUUUGAUGUCCAUACAACGUAUACACGACGUCUGUAGGACGUCUUUCUUGGGUAAAAGUUGACGUCUUAAAGACGUCUUUCUUGGACCAAUAAGACCA